rnacentral:rRNA from 1 species
AUUGAACCCUGGCGGCAUGCUUUACACAUGCAAGUCGAACGGCAGCGCGGGCUUCGGCCUGGCGGCGAGUGGCGAACGGGUGAGUAAUGCGUCGGAACGUGCCCAGUAGUGGGGGAUAGCCCGGCGAAAGCCGGAUUAAUACCGCAUACGACCUGAGGGUGAAAGCGGGGGACCGAAAGGCCUCGCGCUAUUGGAGCGGCCGAUGUCGGAUUAGCUAGUUGGUGGGGUAAAGGCUUACCAAGGCGACGAUCCGUAGCUGGUCUGAGAGGACGACCAGCCACACUGGGACUGAGACACGGCCCAGACUCCUACGGGAGGCAGCAGUGGGGAAUUUUGGACAAUGGGGGCAACCCUGAUCCAGCCAUGCCGCGUGCGGGAAGAAGGCCUUCGGGUUGUAAACCGCUUUUGUUCGGGAAGAAAUCCUCUGGGCUAAUACCCCGGGGGGAUGACGGUACCGGAAGAAUAAGCACCGGCUAACUACGUG